rnacentral:lncRNA from 1 species
AGGGAGAUGCCAUGUGCUGGCCCAGCACUCCAACAGGGGCCUGACCUCUAGGAACGGGACACUGGAGGAAGCCUAGACAUCUGAACAAAUCAAGUCAUCCAGAUCCACGGUCAGCUCCUGCCCCGACUUGGCCUUCCUCCUGCUGGGCUGGCCCACGGACCUCGGGAACCUGCCCUGGCUGUGGGUGACCUGCAGCCUAUCUCCCAGGACUAUGGAAGCCCCAUGCAGGAACAUGGUUCUGACACUUUGGGGAUUAUACCCUAAGCUUAAAGGACUGGAAAAGCCCCUGAAGUCCCGAGACCACAACCCUCCACCUUCUAAAGAUAAGACAAGUCACUGAAGGUCUCAGAACUGUGGCCCAUUCACCCCUUCCCUCAAGACAAGAGUGUGGCCAAGCAUCAAUCUCACCCCCAGAGACCAGACGGUGUCCAGGUCUUGGGCAGACGAAACCUGCUCCUUGGGGAUGGUCUUCCUGGCUGUGCUUCCAAAGGGCUGGCCUGCAAUCAGCUGGUUUUCACUUGAUCCUUUCGGGGUUUGCAUUAUAUCUGACUGAAGGAAUGAACUGGGAGAGAACAGCAGAGCCGCAGCGGAAUGUGGAAAGGCCCACGUCCAGACUGUUCCCAUUCUGGUAGGUGGUGGGGGCAGGUAUCUUGUCUUCUGGGUCUGUUGUUCCAUAUGGAGGCCAGUGACUCUGCUAUGAGGGUGCCCUCAGCUGCACAGCAUAAGGACCAGAACACAGCAGACUCUCCUUAGGCUGUGACUGGCCACUAGCAUUGCAUUCCUGCCCCACUCUCCAGGUGUAAAUACUUACUCUCGAUUUUCUUUAUCCUCAUUUCCCAGGGAAUGAAGAUGACCACAAAGUUACAGGCGAGACGAGCAAAUUUCCGCCAGAGCUAGACAAGAGGGGUCAGGAUUAGAGAGGUCACGUACAUGAAGAUGGCAAUGGCUGUGCAGUACUAGGCACCUAAAUGGAGUAUACCAGACACUCCCUCUGGUACCUUUAAUUAUGAUUAUGGCUUCAUAGGCCUUUAAGCUGCACUAGAACCAAAGUAGCUCCCUUGUCUGUGCUCCUAACCAGGUGAAUGGACACCAGCUUUGGAGGAAUAAUGCAAGCUGCAGCCCCAUAUAAUAUGCACCUCAAUACAGACACCACCCGAGCCGUGAUGCCUGUAUUGAAGUGGAUAUUCUAUAGGGUUGCAGUUUGCAUUAGCCAUCCCAUUCCUGAUGAGGGGUAUCUCUUGCUCUUUGAGAAAAAAAAAUCUUUUUAACUUUUGGCAAUUACAUCUUAAAACCACAAGACACAGUACAAAUUACUCGAGGAAUGAUAUCUAAAUAAAUCCACUUGAUCCUGUCAUAAACCUAAGGGGAUUCUGAGAGUGUGCCCCAGGAAUCCAGAUGCCUAACAGACUCCCCAGGUGAUUACAAGUGCAUCCCUGUUUAAGGACCAAGAGUCUAGAGCCUACCCUGAAAAUGAGCCCCACCCUAAUGUGUGACUCGCCUCCUGCUACAGCCUCUUUCCUGGAUAGAGC